rnacentral:lncRNA from 1 species
AAGGCAUGUCCCAAUUAGUCGGACUCUCUCUACCUUUUCGUGGUAUUUAGUUCAGAAGAUUUGCUACAAUUAACUCUGACUUUCCCUUCAUUUUUCUCUUGGUUUCUGCAACUUCGGAGGAUUUGCAUGUAGAGAAAAGUUUUGUGUAAGUAUCGUUGCGACUAUCUUACUUAAUUAAGCUCUUUUUUAUAUCUUAAGAUAAUCUUCUCGUUUUCAAAUUUCAAGUCUCAGGAUAUACUUACAUGCAAAGUGAUUUUUGAAAUAUACUUUAGAAAAGUAAGGAACUGAGACUGAGUCAAGUUUCUGUAGUUGCUUACAUCUGCACGUCAACAUGUUGGAAAAAGACCAUCUCAUAAGAAUGCGUUUUUUUUUUCUUUCUAGCUUCUCCCAAAAAGGAACAGAGGAAAACCUUUUUGUUUGAGACGAAAUUAAGCUUCUACUGUUGUUGUGUUUGGCUUUUUUUUUUUUUAAAUUCUACGCAUGCAAUAUAAAACAUACUUACACAAUCAGCUAAAUUUAUAAGUUAAUUAAUUACAGGUAAUUCUUUAUGCCAAAUCUUGACUUAGUACAACCCACUCUAUUUUUUAUUUUUUACUUUUACAUUGUCGACAUACAUAAUAUAAAUUGUUUUCGUUUUUGUAUUUUUGAUAAAAAGUUGUGUAAUUUUGAGUAAAAGAGCCAUAUAUAUGCUGAUCAGUGGUAGGCGAGAUCUUGCUGCAAUAGAUGGAAUUCAUUGUUGUUAAAGCUACAUAAAUGUCCUUUAGAGCUAAUAGCUAGCUGCCAUAUCAAGAAUUUUUAUAAGCGGUAUCAUUUUUUAUAUUUAUCCCUAAUAUUUUAACUUCUUACACAUAACUAAUAAAAAUAUUCGACGAAGUGGUAUCCCGCGAUACCACAUAGUACAAGGUGUAUACGCCCUGCACAGUGGCAUGCAUAAAUUGGAGUUGAGUCGUGAUCUUUCUUUCUGGUAAAUAUUUCAGAGUGUUAUUAGAUUCUUUUCUUUUCUGUGAAGACUGAAGAAACAACAAUUCUUUAAGCAAAGCAAUUGCAGUUCAAGGUGCCAAGAGUACUGAUGAACCCUAUAAGUCUCACCUUCAAAGUUACGUGAUAUAUUCUUGGGCUGAUGGACCGCAAAUUAAGCCGUUUCCAAACGAAAAACACUUAACCUAUAAGCAAUGCAUGUUUAUAUUUGCAAAUAAUAUAACUGGAAUUGGCUUUAUUUUUAUUUUUUAAAUUAUAAGUACUACAUAGAAGGUAGGGUUGUCUUUUUGACACCAUAUUGCCAAGUUAAUUAAGCCUUUUCCGACUUUAGGCAUGGAACUCAAUGGUCCAAUUUAAUUUUUACCCCUUACUUGUGGAUACAAUAUUUUUGCUAAUGAAAACCAAGAACUGAAAUUGAAAAUUAAUUUGCCAUUGUGCACCUUUUGGAGUUCCUUUAACUGAACGAAUGCCAAUAUAAAAUAAAUUCAAAAAUAAAACAUGGAAGUAGAUAUUAUUAAUCUAAUACUACAUAAUGUAACAUUUAAACGCAUUCGAAAUAUCCACUGGUUUACAUAACCAAAGCAGUUGCUAUCAUACCAUAACAUCGAUCGAUAGCCAUGCCUGACAAAAUGAAAAUGCUUCAAUUACAUCUCAAGCAGCUAAUAAAGAUGGCUGCACAGAUAAUUCACCUAUUCUUUCAUCACCAAGCAGUUAAUUCAUGUUCCCUUAACUUAAUAUUAGUUGAAAAGGUCAUAUAUGUAGUUUUCUUAAUAGUAUUAUUAUGUACAAAUAAUACUUGAUAUUUAGUCAACAAAGAACUGUACUUCCUAUGAUCAGUAUUUACUUGUUUUAAUUAGGAGGAUUUCAGUUCAUUUCCAUAGAUCAAUCUGAGAAGAGGAGGAUGCCGUUGAAGUAUUUUCCGCAGCUGCUUCUUGCUUGUUCAAAUUUCU